rnacentral:rRNA from 1 species
GAUGAACGCUGGCGGCGUGCCUAAUACAUGCAAGUCGAGCGAACAGAUAAGGAGCUUGCUCCUUUGACGUUAGCGGCGGACGGGUGAGUAACACGUGGGUAACCUACCUAUAAGACUGGGAUAACUUCGGGAAACCGGAGCUAAUACCGGAUAAUAUUUCGAACCGCAUGGUUCGAUAGUGAAAGAUGGUUUUGCUAUCACUUAUAGAUGGACCCGCGCCGUAUUAGCUAGUUGGUAAGGUAACGGCUUACCAAGGCGACGAUACGUAGCCGACCUGAGAGGGUGAUCGGCCACACUGGAACUGGGACACGGUCCAGACUCCUACGGGAGGCAGCAGUAGGGAAUCUGCCGCAAUGGGCGAAAGCCUGACGGAGCAACGCCGCGUGAGUGAUGAAGGUCUUCGGAUCGUAAAACUCUGUUAUUAGGGAAGAACAUACGUGUAAGUAACUGUGCACGUCUUGACGGUACCUAAUCAGAAAGCCACGGCUAACUACGUG